rnacentral:rRNA from 1 species
UACAGAGGUCUCAAGCGUUGCUCGGAUUCAUUGGGCGUAAAGGGUGCGUAGGUGGCGAGGUAAGUCGGAUGUGAAAUCCCGGGGCUCAACCCUGGAACUGCAUUCGAUACUGCCCUGCUAGAGUACUGGAGAGGAGAUUUGGAAUUUACGGUGUAGCAGUGAAAUGCGUAGAUAUCGUAAGGAAGACCAGUGGCGAAGGCAAUCCCCUGGGCCUGCACUGACGCUCAUGCACGAAAGCGUGGGGAGCAAACAGG